rnacentral:rRNA from 1 species
GACAUAGGUGGCGAACGUUAUCCGGAAUUAUUGGGCGUAAAGGGCGCGUAGGCGGCUUGGCAAGUGGAUGGUGAAAUCCCUCGGCUUAACCGAGGAACUGCCGUCCAAACUGCUUCGCUUGAGACCGGGAGAGGUGAGUGGAAUUCCCAGUGUAGCGGUGAAAUGCGCAGAUAUCAGGAAGAACACCCGUGGCGAAGGCGGCUCUCUGGGACGGUACUGACGCUGAGACGCGAAAGCGUGGGGAGCGAACAGG